rnacentral:rRNA from 1 species
ACAUCCAGAGAAUUUAGCAGAGAUGCUUUAGUGCCUUCGGGAACUCUGAGACAGGUGCUGCAUGGCUGUCGUCAGCUCGUGUUGUGAAAUGUUGGGUUAAGUCCCGCAACGAGCGCAACCCUUAUCCUUUGUUGCCAGCACGUAAUGGUGGGAACUCAAAGGAGACUGCCGGUGAUAAACCGGAGGAAGGUGGGGAUGACGUCAAGUCAUCAUGGCCCUUACGAGUAGGGCUACACACGUGCUACAAUGGCGCAUACAAAGAGAGGCGACCUCGCGAGAGCAAGCGGACCUCAUAAAGUGCGUCGUAGUCCGGAUUGGAGUCUGCAACUCGACUCCAUGAAGUCGGAAUCGCUAGUAAUCGUAAAUCAGAAUGUUACGGUGAAUACGUUCCCGGGCCUUGUACACACCGCCCGUCACACCAUGGGAGUGGGUUGCAAAAGAAGUAGAUAGCUUAACCUUCGGGAGGGCGUUUACCACUUUGUGAUUCAUGACUGGGGUGAAGUCGUAACAAGGUAAGCGUAGUGCU